rnacentral:rRNA from 1 species
UACGUAGGGGGCAAGCGUUGUCCGGCGUUACUGGGCGUAAAGCGCACGCAGGCGGUCUCUUAAGUUUGGAGUGACAGUUGGUGGCUUAACUGCCAAAGUGCUUCGAAAACUGAGAGACUUGAGGGCUUCAGAGGGACACGGAAUUCCGGGUGGAGUGGUGAAAUGCGUAGAGAUCCGGAGGAACACCAAAGGCGAAGGCAGUGUCCUGGGGAGUACCUGACGCUCAGGUGCGAAAGCCAGGGGAGCGAACGGG